CCAAUGUGGACAUCCAGCAAGUUCGCUCUUGUCUGGCUCUGUUCAUGUGGCAUGUGGGAGCGUAGACCUUUGGUCUGUGACGUACAGUCCUGUUCCACGACAUUGGAGAGCAAGUGUCCCCAGCUUUUAAGCUGGUGAGGACUGCAUCUUGUAUAUUCCUAGGCCUUCUCUGUCUGCAGUGACUGAGGAGAUAAACCAUGCACGAUACAGUA